AGCUUGCUCUUAUGAAGUUAGCGGCGGACGGGUGAGUAACACGUGGGUAACCUACCCAUAAGACUGGGAUAACUCCGGGAAACCGGGGCUAAUACCGGAUAAUAUUUUGAACUGCAUAGUUCGAAAUUGAAAGGCGGCUUCGGCUGUCACUUAUGGAUGGACCCGCGUCGCAUUAGCUAGUUGGUGAGGUAACGGCUCACCAAGGCAACGAUGCGUAGCCGACCUGAGAGGGUGAUCGGCCACACUGGGACUGAGACACGGCCCAGACUCCUACGGGAGGCAGCAGUAGGGAAUCUUCCGCAAUGGACGAAAGUCUGACGGAGCAACGCCGCGUGAGUGAUGAAGGCUUUCGGGUCGUAAAACUCUGUUGUUAGGGAAGAACAAGUGCUAGUUGAAUAAGCUGGCACCUUGACGGUACCUAACCAGAAAGCCACGGCUAACUACGUGCCAGCAGCCGCGGUAAUACGUAGGUGGCAAGCGUUAUCCGGAAUUAUUGGGCGUAAAGCGCGCGCAGGUGGUUUCUUAAGUCUGAUGUGAAAGCCCACGGCUCAACCGUGGAGGGUCAUUGGAAACUGGGAGACUUGAGUGCAGAAGAGGAAAGUGGAAUUCCAUGUGUAGCGGUGAAAUGCGUAGAGAUAUGGA
rnacentral:rRNA from 1 species